rnacentral:rRNA from 1 species
AAAUUGACGGGACCGCACAAGCGGUGGAUGAUGUGGAUUAAUCGAUGCAACGCGAAAACCUUACUACCCUUGACAUGUCCGGAAUCCCGAAGAGAUUUGGGAGUGCUCGCAAGAGAACCGGAACACAGGUGCUGCAUGGCUGUCGUCAGCUCGUGUCGUGAGAUGUUGGGUUAAGUCCCGCAACGAGCGCAACCCUUGUCAUUAGUUGCCAUCAUUUGGUUGGGCACUCUAAUGAGACUGCCGGUGACAAACCGGAGGAAGGUGGGGAUGACGUCAAGUCCUCAUGGCCCUUAUGGGUAGGGCUUCACACGUCAUACAAUGGUCGGUACAGAGGGUUGCCAACCCGCGAGGGGGAGCUAAUCCCACAAAGCCGAUCGUAGUCCGGAUCGCAGUCUGCAACUCGACUGCGUGAAGUCGGAAUCGCUAGUAAUCGUGGAUCAGCAUGUCACGGUGAAUACGUUCCCGGGGCUU